GCGGGUGUAGUUCAGUGGUAGAACGUCUCGUUGCCAACGAGAAGGUCGUGGGUUCAAGUCCCAUCGCCCGCU
rfam:Candidatus Endomicrobium trichonymphae strain CET450 CET450_Contig1011, whole genome shotgun sequence.